rnacentral:rRNA from 1 species
CUUGCUUCUUUGAUGACGAGUGGCGGACGGGUGAGUAAUGCUUGGGAAUCUAGCUUAUGGAGGGGGAUAACUACGGGAAACUGUAGCUAAUACCGCGUAGUAUCGAGAGAUGAAAGUGUGGGACCUUCGGGCCACAUGCCAUAGGAUGAGCCCAAGUGGGAUUAGGUAGUUGGUGAGGUAAAGGCUCACCAAGCCGACGAUCUCUAGCUGGUCUGAGAGGAUGACCAGCCACACUGGGACUGAGACACGGCCCAGACUCC